GAUGAACGCUGGCGGCGUGCCUAAUACAUGCAAGUCGAGCGAACAGACGAGGAGCUUGCUCCUCUGACGUUAGCGGCGGACGGGUGAGUAACACGUGGAUAACCUACCUCUAAGACUGGGAUAACUUCGGGAAACCGGAGCUAAUACCGGAUAAUAUAUUGAACCGCAUGGUUCAAUAGUGAAAGACGGUUUUGCUGUCACUUAUAGAUGGAUCCGCGCCGCAUUAGCUAGUUGGUAAGGUAACGGCUUACCAAGGCAACGAUGCGUAGCCGACCUGAGAGGGUGAUCAGCCACACUGGAACUGAGACACGGUCCAGACUCCUACGGGAGGCAGCAGUAGGGAAUCUUCCGCAAUGGGCGAAAGCCUGACGGAGCAACGCCGCGUGAGUGAUGAAGGUCUUCGGAUCGUAAAACUCUGUUAUUAGGGAAGAACAAAUGUGUAAGUAACUCUGCACGUCUUGACGGUACCUAAUCAGAAAGCCACGGCUAACUACGUG
rnacentral:rRNA from 1 species